rnacentral:rRNA from 1 species
AUUGAACGCUGGCGGCAUGCCUUACACAUGCAAGUCGAACGGUAACAGGUCUUCGGUGGCUGACGAGUGGCGAACGGGUGAGUAAUACAUCGGAACGUGCCCGAGAGUGGGGGAUAACGCAGCGAAAGCUGUGCUAAUACCGCAUACGAUCUACGGAUGAAAGCAGGGGACCGCAAAGCCUUGCGCUCAUGGAGCGGCCGAUGGCAGAUUAGGUAGUUGGUGGGAUAAAAGCUUACCAAGCCGACGAUCUGUAGCUGGUCUGAGAGGACGACCAGCCACACUGGGACUGAGACACGGCCCAGACUCCUACGGGAGGCAGCAGUGGGGAAUUUUGGACAAUGGGGGAAACCCUGAUCCAGCCAUGCCGCGUGCAGGAUGAAGGCCUUCGGGUUGUAAACUGCUUUUGUACGGAACGAAAAGGUCUUUUCUAAUAAAGAAGACUCAUGACGGUACCGUAAGAAUAAGCACCGACUAACUACGUG